UGGUUUUAUUGCCUUGCAGAAGAAGACUUUGUAAUGCUUAUUGAUUCAUAAUUAAUUAAGUAAUAAUACAAUUGAAAAAAAAAAUGAAUAAAAUGUUGGGCAUCGUAAGUGCGAAAUUAUACAUAUACAUAUAUAUAUGUAUUAUUUUAAUGGUGGAUACAGAGAAUGGGUCGACGUUCAGACCUUCUCUUCAAUUCCACAAGGGUUGGGAGAAUUCCUUCUCCUACAAAGCAAAACCAUCGUAACCCACAUUGCACCUUUCACAAUUCUUACCAUACCAAUUGUUGUUGUGAGGUAGUACAGCAACCAACCAAGCAAAUCAGCCAUGCCUAUAUCCACUAACAUCUCUUUCUUUGCCACUGUUACAAUAACCAGAGAUUCAACCUCAUCCCUCAACCUCCACCACCACAAAAUGCCAACGCUCACAGCCAUAGCCACCGUUUGAACAGACCUUUCUUCUCUAGCCACUCCAAACAUUGUGUCAUCAACCACCGGUUUAACCACGGUUCUACACCAAUGAAGCAUAGUCUCGUGCAAACCCAGGAAAAAUAUUACCCUACUUAACAAACUUCUCUCAACAUCGAAAAUGUAACCAUCGAUUUCAGUGGCUAUGCUACCUUCUAUCCCUAAGCCAACGCAUACUUGUAGCGUACAUAGUAAAAUCCAUGCAGUGUACAAACGGGGUCGGUAAAGUUCACCUGGUGACUCGCUUAGAAGGGUAAUUCUACCAGUCAAGCCAUGGAGAAGAGUUGCUAUGCUAAAAAUGGAAACAAGAAAAUAAAUAAUUACAGGACUGCUGCAAAGAAACAAAGAGAAGAGAAAAGAAGAGGAUCGCUGUGUAGAAUAUGCGAUGCUCAAGAGAUAACCGUAAGAAGAGAGCCUGGCAAGAAGGAGAAAGGAAAGAGGAAGCAAGAUACUGAGGAUGGUGAUUCCGAGAACUUGAAAGGGUUCUGCGGAGAUGGCAUAGAGCUCCUGAGCUUUCUGUCGCCAAUUGAUCUGUUGCCAACCCAUCUUGUCCUGGAAUGAAACCCGAUUACAUGUUAAGGAACUUAAAAUAAAGUCUAUUUAUGAGACCAAAUCAUAGCCCUG
rnacentral:misc_RNA from 1 species